AAAAAUAUUUUUAAGAUUAAAACAUUUGAAAAAAUUAAAAAAAUAUUAAAGAAAAAAAUUUAUUUAAAAAAAAAAACACGGUGUCAUCACUAAUCACUAAACCAGGCACUGCCUAUAACCAAGUCAUUGGUGCCUGUAUCCGUAGCCUACUUGCAAUGGAACAAAUAUCACUUCAGUUACCUGAUUUUAGAAACAAAAAAUGUUAUCUAGGUACUGAAUCCAAGCAUGUAUUAUUUACACUAUUUGUUAUGAUAUCAAAUAUACCCCGCAUUCAGGGAUGGGGUCAAAGAAUCAAGGAAGAAUAUAAUAACGAGGGAAAGAAAAUGAUGUCUCCUCUGUGCUAGGCAGCUAUGUACAAACUAUGAACAGUCUUGAGAGACAUCUCUACUAGGCAUGCGUCGCUAGAAACAAGGAUAUAGCUCUUAGCAUUUCACUGAGUUUUCUGCAAGGCGAACGGCAGUAAAAAAGGAAAUCCCUGCAACAUUUGGAUGUGAACUGGAAGAACAGUGUGGAAAUAGAUGGAUACUUACAGUUGGAUAACAAUUCUUUGUUAUGCUUCCGGUUCCAGUGUUCAACCCAGCCAUGUUGCCCCUGAAUUCGGUCUCUCAUGGAACAUCUUUACAUUACUAACAAACAUCAAGAUCUCUGAAGAAAUUACUGUGCAGUGCAAAUAUUUCCGGCUGAACAGAACUCAAAGAGGCAACUUGGAGGACACUGAAAAGUCCAGCACCGUUGGUAAGGACAGCAGACUGAGCUAAAGCAGGCAAAAGAACGCAACAAGAGCUAAAAAUAGCCUGGAGAUAGAGAGCAACAACCAUUAGAUGAGCGUUAAACAGCAACUAAUAGUCAAGUAGAUGAGUUUUCGGAUGAGUAAACGGCGAACUAGAACAGGAACAUACCACCAAUAGAGAUGCAUCGGUUCACCAAGAACUUCGAUUAUAAAAAUCUCUCGUAAAUUCAGCCUGCAAAAGUUCAGUAUAUAUGGCUUCUCUGAUUUUUUCAAAUCCUAGAACUGUGAUAGCCUAACUCAGUUCUCAUUUUCGACAAACUGUGUAUAUUGUCACGGUAGUGCUCCAAAAAUGCACCGAGACCAUGAAUAAGAAGAUUUGCAGGACCUAGAUGGCCAAAAACUGUACUGAAAUAGGAACAUUAUCUUAAAAAGAAUGCAGAAAUCUAUUAUCUGAUCUUGGCUAACAUAUUCUCCAGAAUAAAAUGCAUAAAAACGAGCUGCAAAGGGAGUUAGAGAAAAUCAACAUGAUUGAAUCAGUUUUCAGCUGCAAAUCUGAUCAUGUUUCUACGUACUGUUAGCUUUGGUGGGAUUUCAUGUUUAGCUUACCUAAGAAGGCAAAAGAAAUGUAAGUCAACGGAGAGGGAACCCACAAGAUGCAAUCAGAGUUGUAGAGAACAUAUAAUUUAUGGUCAGAGGAUGACAUUGAUGUGGUCGGUACACCAUGCCACCAUCAAUCUUUCUUAAGAUUGUGGCAAGCAAUAUUAUCGAUUUUCACCCAAAAUACGUUCACUGGUAAAAGCAAAGGAAAUAAUGCACAUCCUUAUUGUCAAGACACCCACUUGCUAUUUCUUUCCUUCCUGUUUUCUGUG
rnacentral:lncRNA from 1 species